ACCCUGAGCCAACCCUGGUCCCGGUGGGAGGGGUGAGCUGCGGGGCCGGACUGGCGCGGGGGCGGGGCUACCUCUUAGCCAGAACACCCCCCCACAUACACACCCAGAGGGGUGGCUGACUCUCAGCCAGGACUCACCCCCCCCCCCCACCCCGGCGGGAGACGGACUCAGCCAGGACUGGCUGCUCCCCCACGCUGGGGGGGAUACCAAACUAACCGUCUCUACCCCCUCACGCACACUCCGAGGGGGAGGAGCGGAGACAUUAUUUCCCGUGAGGCCCAGUGCCUGGGUGGCCGGAAGGACCCCAGCUGUUGGAGGAGAUGGACACUUCAUGCCCCCGCGGCGGGCAGAUGAGAAGGAGGCCUUGUCCCCACGGACUCACCCCAUCACACUGGCUGAAGUAUUUUGAUAUGAAGACAUCCAACUAUCACAUUAACCCAAUACAGCCUUUGCAUGAAACCCUGCAGGGCGGGAUGCUUAGAGGUUGGCUAGUGACUCACAAGCAGUACCCCCAGAGUUGGGCUCGGAGUUCACAGCUUAGCAACUUGCAGGACUGCCCUACCGAAGCCAGCAUCACCCCGGGCCCUCUGGCCCUAGGUCACGGCCGGUGGAACAGACCAGAUUGAGAUGCUUCCGCACCAGAUCUGGGGACCGGCUCCUUAUCAACCAGUUGUCGAGGAGCCUGACCUGGAAGCCCCCAGGACCUGGACUGUGGCAGAGGAGGCGAGAGUGGAGGAUGGAAGGCUUCCUAAACUGCUGAGGGGUAUGCCGGAUCAAGGAGCAGAGGGUGGCUUGGGAGUCCUUAAGCCCAUGGAGCCUUGAGUCAGUUAGCUUGAAAAAGAGCCCUGUACCCUCGAAGGGGAGGUUCUGGAUUGUGGCCUGCAUUUCAGGGGACAGCCCAGAAGCCUGCAACCACGAGCUAUACCUCAUGGCCACUGCUGAUGCAACCUGGCUGUCAAGUCCAUAGCAUCCCAGGCCAUCUGGAGGACUCCCCUGGCCACUGCUGUGCCUUCGCUCACUAACGCUGUGAACUCUUUGGCAUGAGCCCAUGAAAUGAUUAAAGGAGUCCCACAGGUUGAAGGUAUAACGUCCCAACAGGGCCUGGUAAUUAGACACUCCGAACUGCAAGCUGGCCAUCGAAUAAACCUUUUGGCCAAACAA